AAAGCUAGCACUCAAGGAGUUCAAAAAAUGUAGGCAUUGACCAUUUGGAUUAAAUGCCUACAUUUUUUUGAAGUCCUUGAGUGCUAGCUUU